UACGGAGGGUGCGAGCGUUGUUCGGAAUUACUGGGCGUAAAGCGCGUGUAGGUGGUUCGCUAAGUCCGAUGUGAAAGCCCGGGGCUUACCCCCGGAAGUGCAUCGGAUACUGGUUGACUAGAGUACCGGAGAGGAGGACGGAAUUCCUGGUGUAGCGGUGAAAUGCGUAGAUAUCAGGAGGAACACCGGUGGCGAAGGCGGUCCUCUGGACGGAUACUGACACUGAGACGCGAAAGCGUGGGGAGCAAACAGG
rnacentral:rRNA from 1 species